CUGUCUUUUGAAACACUAAAACUUUUGCAAUGUUUGCCAUUUUGCCCUGCAACCUAGCGCAUUGCAUUUGCAUUGUUUGUAAAUGCCUGCAACAACCAUACCCUCAACCAGACCUGGUGUUAAUGUGAUGGGUGGAGACAGAAGCAAGAGCCAAGUGAAGGCUGUUGUAGUUGAAUGCGAGGUUUGGGGUUAAUUCUGUAUUUUUCUUCCCCCUGGAUUGCAAGCUUCUUGAGGACAAAACCUUCGUCUUAUUUUGUUUCAUGUCCCCAGGAUCUGACACUGGACUCCAUAAAUGUCUGUUACAAUGUUCUUUAAUUGAAGUUGAAAUGAAGAAGCUGACGUAAAAGGAAGGAAAUGAAUAUAUGACCAAGAGUUUGCUCUUCUGGAAAUGAAUAAAUGGUUUCAUUAGUAUCAAAAAGUUAAGACUGAUUUGGAACAUCAGAGAGCUUUAAGUCCUGUGGAUAAUAUGGAGAUUGGCUUCCAUUUCUCAGCACUUCUGCUUCUUUGAAAUAAGGAAGUUCAUAGACCUUCCUUAGUUUCCUUGUGCCCGCUUGUCUUCCCCGUCCCCCUUUGGUGUUUUACAAAACUGAGUCAUUGAAACCCUUCCCCUCUCACCACCAUACAGACAGACGUGGUGUAAUGAUCAAGAAAAGAAACCUUUUCAUUCCUCUAGGCUGUCGGAAAUCCUAGUGAUUAAGUGUCAUUUCAGGUCAUUGAUGUGAAAUCAUUUGAAUUUUUUUUUUAAACAGUUGGCAGUGAUUAGGAAUGGCUAAUCUUGCUUGAGCUGUUCUUUCAGUAAUCAAGUUUAGGUAAAUAUUAGACCAAUUGAAACUGAAAAAAGGGUUUUAGUUAAAUACAUAUGUAUAAAGAAGAAUGGUAAACA